UAAACAUUAUUCUGUGUUACCUCCCAAGAAGAGGGGUAUUCCCCACGUGGCUCUGCUGUUAAAGAUAGGAUGAGGUCUCUGGGAAGGAGAUGACCUCCUGAGGGCCACGCAUGUGAAGAAAGAGGAAGUGGCGGAGGAGCAAGAAGGAGAAGAUAUGGAGAAUUGCUUGGUUACUAUUUGACCAUUGUUCAGACUAAAGAAGUAAAACACAGCUUGGAGGAGGGACUUGUCUUAGUUCACAAGGCUAAGGAGAGGCAACACUGAUGCCUGGGGCUGUGUUUCCUGAUUCCCAGACCUGUACUUAAGGGGAAAGCUCUAUCACACUAACGCUAUCAGUUCAGGAAGUGCUCUCCGGUCUAUUCCCACGAGGUAGAUGCUGUGAUGGUCUUCCCAUCAGCCGUGCUGGGAAAGAACUGAUUUGGAAAUGCUUAAAAUACAGUACAUUUGAUGUAGAGGUAAGAGGUAAGAAUUUUGUUACAUUUAAAAUCUGCAUCAUAGAUUCCUUG
ensembl:lncRNA